GCCUCCGUGUUCUCACAGCAGCUCUGGGGGCUGUUGAUAAGAGGGGAGUUUGGCCUGGUGCAUGCUGGCAUCCCAUGUUUCAGGGGCAAAUAAAACCAGACCCCCACCUCUGCUUGUUUUCAGGCCCAGAAACACAGCACUCUGGGGACUUUUGGAGCAGCUGAACCCCAGGACUGAGCUGGGCUGUUCAGCCCCAACCACAGAACUUCAUCCUCCUUUGGGGGGCUGGAAACACCCUUGAGGCUGCUGCUGUGGCCCAUGUGUGAAGGGAAAGGGGGGCCACAGCCCAGGGAGUGCUUGGGAACUGCAGGCACCCACCCAGACAGGGAAAGCUUUAUUGCACUUUAUUCCACUUGAUUUUUCAAUUAUCGUUAUGCAUUACACUUCUUGUAAUAAACCAACACAAUAGCUUUAUUAGCAGUACUA